rnacentral:lncRNA from 1 species
UCUUUUAUUUUUUUGUUUUGCUGGAUCAUUCACUUAUUUGCAUCGGUCCCCUACGUAGAGGAUGCGUAGGCCGGAGCUGACUGCUGAGAUAAACUACUGAGGACUUAUACGGAAAUGAUGAUUAAGGCCAUGGUAUAUGGGGUUUCGGGAGUGGUUCCUAUAUUUACGAAGUCUAUGGUGCUAAAAUAAUACUGAUGUUUUGCAAAGUUCUCCCAAGUCACCACAUCCUUACUCAAAACAUGUCUUUAAAACCUGAAAACUUUCGGAAUAACACUAUUUUCUUUUGCAAAAAAAAAUUCGGUGGGGCUAAAGGUAUGGGGAGAUAGGGUUGUACUAAAGAUCUACUAUAUUUGGUGACUCGUCAGACUCAUGCAUUAUACUAAAAAGCAAAAUAAACAACUAAAAGGAAAUAAAAAUAAAUAAACUAUCUAAAAACAGCAAAGAAAAAGUGAUAAAGAAAAGACGAGAAAAACAAUAAAGAAAAGACGAUAGAGUCUCCUCC